ACUACGGGGGGCUGCAGUGAGGAAUAUUGGUCAAUGGGCGGAAGCCUGAACCAGCCAAGUAGCGUGCAGGAUGACGGCCCUACGGGUUGUAAACUGCUUUUAUACGGGAAUAACGCGCCUUACGUGUAGGGCUUUGCAUGUACCGUAUGAAUAAGGACCGGCUAAUUCCGUGCCAGCAGCCGCGGUAAUACGGAGGGUCCGGGCGUUAUCCGGAUUUAUUGGGUUUAAAGGGAGCGUAGGCCGCAUGUCAAGCGUGCUGUGAAAUGUCCGGGCUCAACCCGGGCCUUGCAGCGCGAACUGGCGUGCUUGAGUCCGCGGAAAGCAGGCGGAAUUCGUCGUGUAGCGGUGAAAUGAUUAGAUAUGACGAAGAACCCCGAUUGCGAAGGCAGCUUGCUGCAGCGGAACUGACGCUGAUGCUCGAAAGCGCGGGUAUCGAACAGGAUUAGAUACCCCAGUAGUC
rnacentral:rRNA from 1 species